rnacentral:rRNA from 1 species
UGCGGAGGGAUCAUUACCGAGUUUACAACUCCCAAACCCCUGUGAACAUACCUUACUGUUGCCUCGGCGGAUCAGCCCGCUCCCGGUAAAACGGGACGGCCCGCCAGAGGACCCCUAAACUCUGUUUUUAUAUGUAACUUCUGAGUAAAACCAUAAAUAAAUCAAAACUUUCAACAACGGAUCUCUUGGUUCUGGCAUCGAUGAAGAACGCAGCAAAAUGCGAUAAGUAAUGUGAAUUGCAGAAUUCAGUGAAUCAUCGAAUCUUUGAACGCACAUUGCGCCCGCCAGUAUUCUGGCGGGCAUGCCUGUUCGAGCGUCAUUUCAACCCUCAAGCCCUCGGGUUUGGUGUUGGGGAUCGGCGAGCCUUUCUGGCAAGCCGGCCCCGAAAUCUAGUGGCGGUCUCGCUGCAGCCUCCAUUGCGUAGUAGUAAAACCCUCGCAACUGGAACGCGGCGCGGCCAAGCCGUUAAACCCCCAACUUCUGAAUGUUGACCUCGGAUCAGGUAGGAAUACCCGCUGAACUUAAGCAUA